ACAAAAGCUCUUGCAUGUUCAAGCCUGGUCCCUGGUCCUGAAGCUAAAUCUUCUUCAGAGAUCACGAAUCUGACAUCGUUCACCGUAAGUUAUCAUCGUGGGGGCUCGUCCCGGAUCUUCAGGACAAGCUAAACUACCUCCAGCUCGUCAUCGACACCAUUGGAGAAGUCUUUGUGCCGUUUCUUUGUGGCAACUUUUGGGCACUAACAAUCGGUUGGAAGACUCCCUUGGAAGGGAUAGCAUCUAAAAUCCUUUUCAACCUCCUCAUCAACUGAAGGCUUCACAUGGUGGGUUUCUUUGCUUCAAGGAAAGGGCUUUCUUCAACUCUGCAAAUCUGAUGACAUCUAGCAACCCUAAGAUGGACUGAUAUAACACAUCGUACCUUAACUAUGGACAUAAUGUGACUUUUCAUUUUGAUUAUAUUUUAACUUGAUUUAAUGACUAGUUUGCUUCAUAUAAGAAGGUAAAUGGGUCUAGAUCUGAUGGUUUUCAACCUGAUGUUUAUCAAAUAUGGGAUGAGGUCAUAUGGCUAAGUCUUGAAAAAGGAUGCCUACUAUCUAAAGCCCCCAUAUGCCGGGAACAGAUAGAGCCAUCACCAGAAGUUAGCCAACAACUUAAUUAUAAUGGCUGGAAACAAUUGGGAUUUUUGCCUCAAAAAAAUAUACAAUGUAAUCAUUUCUGUGUUUGUCAAUCCCAGUUCAGGUCCUUCUUUUGCCUGGUCAGGCACUGACUGGGACUGGAUCCCUCAGUCACGCUGGCUUGCUCCAAACAGGACCUACUGGAUAUUAUCUAUGGGUGGCUCUCACCUAUGGGUGUGGCUUCACCCUGACUGGAUAGGGAGAUGCCUCCUAAGUCUAGCUUUUACUCAUGGCUUCAUAUUUUCAGAGCUUUCAGAGAAGACUGCUAAUCUUCCACACCUUAAAACUUGCUAGGCAAAGUCUGUAUUUCAGUGGUAUGAUUAUUUGGCUACAAUAUUCAUUCCCUUUCUGGGAACUACAGACAUUAUACUACGAGUUGAUGCUCUGACUAACUUUACUCAACAGGCUUUACAAGAUUUUCAAAAAGCUAUUUCAGCCCUUAAUGCUGAACAAAUACAAAUUAGAAAGGUGGUUUUACAAAAACAGAUUGGCCUUAGAUAUUCUAAGUGCUGCACAAGAAGGAACUUGUGCCAUUAUUCAAACCCUAUGUUGUACACAUAUACCAGAUAUAAACACUAAUGUUACUCACUUUACUAAACACAUGAACAAGAUGAUUCAGGCUACAGAUACUCCUGAAGCCUCAGUCACCUCAGUCACUGUAGGAAACGUCAACUAGCCC